rnacentral:miRNA from 1 species
AGUGGAUAGCAAUCCAAGCAAUC